AGAAAAUUAGUUAAAAAAUAACAUUAAUUUGUCAAAUUAAAGUUGCCUGCCCGGUGUUUCCUA
rnacentral:tRNA from 1 species